rnacentral:rRNA from 1 species
UACGAAGGGUGCAAGCGUUACUCGGAAUUACUGGGCGUAAAGCGUGCGUAGGUGGUGAGUUAAGUCUGAUGUGAAAUCCCCGGGCUCAACCUGGGAAUGGCAUUGGAUACUGGCUCGCUAGAGUGCGGUAGAGGGUGGUGGAAUUCCCGGUGUAGCGGUGAAAUGCGUAGAGAUCGGAAGGAACACCAGUGGCGAAGGCGGCUACCUGGACAAAUACUGACGCUGAUGCGCGAAGGCGUGGGGAUCAAACAGG